AAUGAACGUUAGCGGCGUGGAUUAGGCAUGCAAGUCGAGCGAGAAGCUUUUAAAAGAUACUUCGGUUGAUUUUAAAAGUGGACAGCGGCGAAAGGGAGAGUAACGAGUAGAUCACGUACCCAAGGGUCCGGGAUAGCUGCGGGAAACUGCAGGUAAUACCGGAUAAUGUUUCCGAACCAAAGAUUUAUUGCCCUUGGAUCGGUCUGCUUACUAUUAGCUUGUUGGUGGGGUAAUGGCCUACCAAGGCGAAGAUGGUUAGCGGGUGUGAGAGCAUGGCCCGUCUCACUGGAACUGAGACACUGUCCAGACACCUACGGGUGGCUGCAGUCGAGAAUCUUCCGCAAUGGACGAAAGUCUGACGGAGCGACGCCGCGUGAUGGAUGAAGGCCCUCGGGUUGUAAACAUCUGUCGUAGGGGAGGAAAUUUUGACCGAUCCUAGGAGGAAGCACAGGCUAAGUUCG
rnacentral:rRNA from 1 species